CAGUAGCCGCGGUAACACCGAGGGUGCAAGCGUUAAUCGGAAUUACUGGGCGUAAAGCGCGCGUAGGUGGUUUGUUAAGUUGGAUGUGAAAUCCCCGGGCUCAACCUGGGAACUGCAUCCAAAACUGGCAAGCUAGAGUAUGGUAGAGGGUGGUGGAAUUUCCUGUGUAGCGGUGAAAUGCGUAGAUAUAGGAAGGAACACCAGUGGCGAAGGCGACCACCUGGACUGAUACUGACACUGAGGUGCGAAAGCGUGGGGAGCAAACAGGAUUAGAUACCCGGGUAGUCCCUGUCUCUUAUAA
rnacentral:rRNA from 1 species